rnacentral:lncRNA from 1 species
GGAUCAUUCUGCCAGGGGGGAAACUGAGGCCCAGAGAGGAAGAGGGGCUUCCCCGAGCUCCCAUUCCCCCUUUGACAGAUGAGGAAACUGAGGCACAGAGUGGUUAAGCCACUUGAUGAAGGGCACACAGCUUAUCCAUAGUGGAUCCAGGAUUUGCUCCCCAACAGCCGCCCCAGGAGCCGGGCUCCCCUUACAGCCACGGACUCCUGCCACCAGCCCCCUGUGAGCAGCUGUGAUUGUCGCCACUGACACGCCCAGAAGGAGCUGACGGAGGAAUUGCAGAGCGAGGAAUGAGCCAGAGCAUCCAGGAAGUGCCGAUCCCCUGCGGGAUGAGCUUGGAGCUGGGAUGAGGGACACACAGGCAGGAGCUGGAGCAACUGGAACAGGCAGGAGGAGCUAAGAUGCUCCUUGGUCCCGAGGGUUUCAAGUCCCAGGAGGAGCUGCUGUCUGUCUCCCCGCAGCGCACGGACUCGCCUCCUGGGUGUCUGUCAGCAGAGUCACUUCGUGGCUCAAGGUCGACCCCUCCCUCCAGGUCACGGUCCCACCCUGCCUCCACUGGGGCCUCAUCUGUCUGCCCCUCUGUGCCCACCCCCGGUGGUCCCUCAGUCCCCUGUUCGCCUCCACUGCCCACUUUCUCUCGGUUCUGUCCCCACACGGCUGCUCCUCGCCCUGCCUCACCGUCUCCGUGGAUCGUCCAACCCCAGGAGGCAGUGACAAGGGGCCCAGUCAAAGCUGAGGAAACUGAGGCUCAGAGAGGUAUGGACAGUUGUCCAAGGUCACC